rnacentral:lncRNA from 1 species
CCUCAGCCCUGUGGGGAUGGGAUUUUGUGGAGCUCUUCCCAUAACUGCCCCCAAAGGCUUUCAAAUAAAGAUCCCCUUUUAUAUUAUAUUAACCCUGGGCUAAAAUGAUUUCCAGUGUCAUUUCCAGCAAGGAGCCCACGGGCACAGCUCCAGCUCCAGAGUGUCAGGGGCUCUGUCACAGCCCCAAAAAAUGACCCAGGAAGCCAAGUUGGAAAAGUUUCCAUGUUUUAAUGGCAAAGGGGGUUUGUACAACCAGGACCAAAGGGAAAACCCCCAGGUUAGUGCAGCACGGAGCAGAGGCCACAGCUGGGGACCCAAAGCUGGAGGCUCCAAGCACAGUCAGUGUUUCAGCCAGGAGAGCUGACCCCUCCCAAGCCAAAAUUCCCAGCCCAGGAAAGCUGGGGGUGGCACAGCAGGAUUCCAAAGCCUGAGUCCACCUCUGGUCCAGCCCCCACAAAUCCCACAGCUCGUGGCUGUUGUGUUGUGGGAAUGGAUGUAAAACCUACAAAUGUUACACUCCAGGGUUAAAUCCUGCCUGAAUUCUGGGAUAAUAACAGGAAAGCUGGAAAUCCAUCGUGGUCAGGGGGAGCUGCAGGUCUCAGCUGCUUUGGGAAAGGGUGGGAAGAGGGAUCUGAUCCUGCCUCAGUUCACUGGGGAGUUUUCCUGCUGGGCUCUGAGUGUUUCCACCUUCAUCCCUGGAACGUGUCCUGGGCACCGGGGAAUAACCCCAGACCUCGCGUGGUGAUGGAUAAAACUCCACAGAAACUCCGAGCAGGAGGGGCUGCCCUGACCUGCUCCAGUCCUGGGACAGGAUACUGGGUUUGCUCAUGGAAGGGAAGAAAUCCCCCUGAGCAGAUCCCAAAUCCCCAUAGCAGAUCCCAAAUCCCCCUAAACAGAUCCCAAAUCCCCCUGAACAGAUCCCAAAUCCCCCUGAACAGAUCCCAAAUCCCCCUGAACAGAUCCCAAAUCCCCCUAAACAGAUCCCAAAUCCCCCUAAACAGAUCCCAAAUCCUCCUGAACAGAUCCCAAAUCUUUCUGUGAGCAGAUCCCAAAUCCCCCUGAGCAGAUCCCAAAUCCCCCUAAACAGAUCCCAAAUCUUUCUGUG